rnacentral:lncRNA from 1 species
AGCAAACGGUAGGUGUGUUCGGCCUUUGAAGCAGCACAUUGGUUGCUCUAAUUUGCAUUUCCUUUAUUCCUAGGGCUGAGCCUCUUCUAGCACGAAGCAAAUCCAUUUUUCUGUGAAGGAUGCUCCUGAGCUUCCUUAUUGAAUGGUGUGUCUCAAGGAUGCGCCUCGCUGUUGCCGUUCCAUCACGUGAUGACGUACGCGCACUUGGUUUCUCUCUGCCUCUUUAUUGCUACUUGCAGGUUAUGUGGAGCCGAAAGACACUUUGCCUGUAAUUUCCACCCGUUUUAUUCUGCCAGUGAGGACUCGGGGUGGCGCUCAGUGGUAGAGUGCUUGCUUAGCAUACAGAAGGCCCUGGGUCCGAUCGCCAGCACUGCAAAGAAAUCAUCCCUAUUUUUUCCCCAAUCAGUGAAUAAGCCAGAGAGCUCAAGAACGUUUCUGAGGUCACACAGCUAACUGAACAAGGAAGCAAAGAGCCAGUCCUCACUGGCUUCCCCAGGGCUUUCCAACGCUGUGACAACAGCCCAUUAGGAGCAGCUUUCUCCCUGUCAGAGGUGCAGAAGGGCCAGCCCUGGGCUGAGACCUUCCCCUGCACAGCGGCUGGCUCUGCCCCUGCUGGCCAGCUCUUCUCUGCCCAGGGGCCAUGGCGCUCUCUCCCACGUCCCUAGCUCUGCACCAUGGCCAUCCCUCAUGCUUCAAGGCUUCUCUGCUCUGAAAAGGCCCCGUCCGUCUGUGCUGCCCCGAAUGUUCUGGACAAGGCGAGGCCCUCAGGGCAGUGGCUGCCCGUUUGGGGAGGGAGGGUGACCGGGGCGGCCUUGGGUCCUGGUAGGCCCGUGACACUCCUGUCACACCUGUCACACCCACUCUUCCACAUUCUUAGGACCUCCAACCUGAAGAGCAAGUCCCGGUGGAGACCCUGGACCUGGGUGAGCCCCACUCUGGACGGAGGAGAUGAGGGAUGGCCGGGCCUCCCGCGUGCUAGGAGCGCUCCACCCACCCAGCCACUCCCCAGCCUCCGUUCUUUCCUCUUGAUUCUCCUGAGAACUUAAAGUGGCUCUUAAAAUGAAUCUCAGAAAUAAAGGGCUUCCUCAUCCCGCGGACCGUGGCCUGUGCGUGAUGGCCAGCCCAGGGCCUGCCCCAGGAGGGACAGGACACUAGCUGUGGCCUGGGAAACAGGGGGGAGAGUACCGGCGCAUCUCCGAGGGCCUGGCUGCGAGUCCUGGUGCUGCGUGACCCCGAGUCCCGGAGUCCCUGUGGCCCUGCCGUGGGGGUCCUUGUCUGGCCGGCCCGGGCAGCCUCGGGGAUGUGACCCCAGCAGGCAGCGGGGUGGCCCGGAGGACGUGGCCUCCCCCACUUCCAGACCUCAGACCUGGGACUGCGUGGAGGGCUCCCCUGGGAUGCGACUCUGUUGUCUGAAGACGGUGACAGCAAGACGGCCAGGAUUUGGCUCAGUGAGACUGGAU